rnacentral:rRNA from 1 species
CACACUGGGACUGAGACACGGCCCAGACUCCUACGGGAGGCAGCAGCAGGGAAUUUUGCGCAAUGGACGAAAGUCUGACGCAGCAACGCCGCGUGGGGGAUGAAGGCCUUCGGGUUGUAAACCCCUUUCAGGAGGGAAGAAAAUGACGGUACCUCCAGAAGAAGCACCGGCCAACUACGUGCCAGCAGCCGCCGUAACAC